rnacentral:rRNA from 1 species
CCUACGGGUGGCAGCAGUGGGGAAUAUUGGGCAAUGGAGGCAACUCUGACCCAGCAACGCCGCGUGAAUGAUGAAGGUCUUCGGAUUGUAAAGUUCUUUGAUGGGGGAUGAACACAAUGACGGUACCCCAAUAGCAAGCCACGGCUAACUACGUGCCAGCAGCCGCGGUAAUACGGAGGGUGCGAGCGUUAAUCGGAAUUACUGGUCGUAAAGCGCUCGUAGGCGGUAUGUCAAGUCAAGGGUGAAAUCCCCGCGCUCAACGUGGGAACUGCCUUUGAAACUGGCAAACUGGAGUGUGUGAGAGGAUAGUGGAAUUCCAGGUGUAGGAGUGAAAUCCGUAGAUAUCUGGAGGAACAUCAGUGGCGAAGGCGACUAUCUGGCACAUAACUGACGCUGAGGAGCGAAAGCGUGGGUAGCAAACAGGAUUAGAUACCCUUGUAGUC